UGGUUCAUCUUACAGGGCAGCAUUAGAUUGAUUCACAUGAUUCUAAUACUGUCAGGUAAUGAUGUCCUC
rnacentral:pre_miRNA from 1 species